GGGAGGAGACCGCAAUGCUCAAAUAGCCACCACACUGCCUGCUGCCAGCAGAUGCCAAGGAGCCCAUUCACCUUUCCUGCUUCAGGAGUGAGCACCUCGUGCCCCAGAGCCCUUUGGCUGUGGUGAAAUGUCGACGAUCCUGAAAUGGUUUGGACGGGAAGAUAAGGAGAGAGAGGAGAAGGAAGAGGAAAGAAAACAGGAGUCAGAGGAGGAAAAGGAUGAGGGAGUUGGGGAUGGUGACAACAGGAGUAGCAGCAGCAGCACUGAGGAGCCCCAGGACCAGGGCCGUGCUGAGGACGAUGAUAAGGAAGCCCAGGAGUAGACUUGCUGGGCAUGCCGAGGAGCUGGGGAUGCUGGAGGGGGCUGGCCACUGGUAGCCAAAUAAAAGCAUUUGGACCCCAAA